GUGAGCAAGAUGGAGAAGCAGGGCACGUGCAUUACUAACUCAUGCACACAGAGUGAGAGAGACAUUUCUUGCUGGAGUUAUGACUCUUACCUACUAUAGAUUGUGUUGGCUUCAGCGAGUUAGUUCUUCAUGUGCCUGUCUUCCCCAUCAUGAUC
rnacentral:pre_miRNA from 1 species